UUUUGAUGAUCCAAACUGAUACGCAUAGGCCCAAAAUAUCUCGCCACGUAUACGUCGGUACGAAAUCAUCUGCUAUGUUUAUGCUAUUCUAAGCGGGAGAUUUGCUCGGAUUUGUUGACAGAGGUAAAUUUGAACUCGUACAUUUUGUCACGUAUUUUAUGAACGUUUAAGAUAACAGAGAAAAAGAAUAGACCAACUGGUUGGUGAGAAGGUAGUGGCGAGCUUUGCAUGAAUUUGAAAAAUAUAGGGGCGGUCGGUGGAAAAAAAAGAAGAAAAAAUUGCAAAAAGUCUGGUGAACUUAAUAUAUAACACAAAACUACAAGGAGCUGGCCUUGUGUCCACGCUAACUCGGAAUGGAGUCUUGGCAUUGGCAUACUCCGGCAGUCCCUUCAAGAUAACAUCACCUACAGGCUGAACAUGAAGAGGCAGAGUCUCGCUCACACCAUCCCCGUGGACAUCAAUGGCGUCCAUGUUGAACACUUUGCAUGGGAAUGGGCUCCCUAUGGCAGCAACAUUGAGGAAGACCACCGUGUCGGAUGUGGGCGUUGUAGGUUCCAAGUUCAUUGGCGAGGAAAGUCAUCAAAUGACGCCCGUCAUCCGCCUUCCACAGCUCGGAGGGAACCUUGUCCCCAUCCUUGCUGAUUUCUCCG